GCUCUACUGACGGACUUGAACGGCAACCAAUAGCGAGAAUUGGGUAGGGC
rnacentral:sRNA from 12 species